rnacentral:lncRNA from 10 species
CACAGGCUGUCAUUUGAGGAACUUGUCACAACCCUUUGUUUCCUAUCUUGUUUUGGGAGGAUACUUCUGUUCCCUUGGAUUGGACCAUGUCCAGUUCUCACCCUUAAGGCCUUUCCUUGUCUUAGUCAAUUUAACUCCUCUGCUCUGUAAUCCUUGGAUUACAAAACAAGUUGUUUCUCCUUUCCAGGGACAAGAGGAGCUUCCCUAUUGUUCUUAAUUCUUAGGGCAGAGAAAAAGGCACAAUCAUAUUAACUUGUAGCAGACGAGAAGGAAUUGGGUAGAUUAGUGAAAUCCUUUAUUCCUGCUGAUUUUUUUUUCUUUUUAAGACGAGGUCUUGCUCUUUUAUUCAGGCUGGAGUGCAGUGGUGUGAGCACAGCUCACUGCAGCCUCAAACUCCUGGGCUCAAGUGCUGCUCCUGCCUCAGCCUCCUGCAAAGCUGGAACUACAGAGGCAGCACUCAAGCUCUGAUUCUCACUGUUGCCCAGCGUCAGUUGUUUAGCAGACAUGAUUUAGAUUGCUACAACCCGUUUAUACGUGAUCAUUUAACACACGGGUGUUAAGUUCAUUCUUGCUGCAAAAGAAGGCCAUUGUACCUCCUGACCCUGAAAGCAAGAUGAAGUCACUGAGACACCAAAGGUUAAUUGCUUGCCCAAAGCCAUGUAGCAACUUGGGACACUGGAUUUUGUGGAUGCUCCUUGGACACACUGGAAUGCACCUUGGGCAGCCCGUGGAUCAUUUUCCCCAGUAUGAAGCAUGGGAGGAGCUGGAAAAUGAACUCAUGAGCCAGUUGAGCCAGCACAACAAGCUGGAGCCAGGAGUCUGGCUGGGCUAGCUUUUAUCUUGUGCUCCCUGGAACCCUGACUGGAUGAUUUCUGAAGUCGAGCUGGAGCCCAUCUAGAGGGAAGGUGAAACUUCUCCUCAGCAUGCAGGGCCUCCUGCACCCACACUGCCACAGCCACCGCAUUACCAGCUCCUGCCAGUCUGAGGAGCAAGAGGCUGGCAUGAAGAAUCAGUUCCAUUCUUUCCUCCCUAAAUUUAGAAAAAGCCUGUUUUGCAAAGCUUUCUUCAGUGUUUCAAGACAAAAAAAAAAAAAUUAAGCAGUUGCACAACAUGCAUAUCUUCUCCUGGCCUGCAGCUCCAGGAUAUGCAGCUGGGAGCGAGUGUCCAGCCAACAGCCCGUGUCUCAGGCCCUGCCAGGGGAUGAAUCAAUUAGCAAGAGAAGCAAUGAUGCAAAUGCUCCGGGGUCACUUGGGAUGCUGUUUGCCUUUUUGAUAGAGAAAGCACACCAUAAAUAACAUCACACCUCAGGAAAUCAUUCCAGGAGGCCCCGAUGCUGGCAGGGCUGCUGCCAGGGACGGAAGGAAUCGUUUGCUCAUUGUGUGUAUUUCCCCCAGCUCAGUCAAUGGGAGAUUUGUAGUAAAAUCAAAGUAUUUAAAAGGAGGACAGUAUGUGGUAACAGAGGCAUGUUUAGCAAUUUUUUUAGUACCAGAACCUGUGAUUUAUGACCCAGAGUUACAGCCAACUUUAUUACAAAAAUGACUUCACCCAUAAUAACCUUAUUCAGGGCCCUCUGAUGAAUGAUGUAGUAUCCAACAGCAUUAUAAUCUAGUAAAUAUUCAAACACAAUUCCCGCCUCCGCCUCAUUUCCAACCAACCCCUCAGAAGCAGGCUUCCCCCUUUACCUGCUGGGAGAAGUGGGGUCCUGGGUAAGGCUUUGUGCUCUGUCUGUGGGAGUUUGCCUGGAUCAGGCAUUUAUACUAAGCCAGGACAGAAAGUGACCUCCUGGGGUCUCAGUCAUAUCUUGUCCAACCUUGUCCCCUGAGGAGUAAUGAGCAGAAGACACCCACUCACCCUUCAUUUCCUCUCUGUGCUGAAACUUAUUUCCUCCCUGCAUUCCCCCACUCCUCCAGAGCUCAGAUCCCCACCACCUGAAAGGAGCUCCAGUAAGCUCCCUGACAUUUUUAAUUGCCAUGGUAACUGAGGGCUGCACUAAAACCGCCAGGGCUGGGUGUCCAAGCAGGGUCCCCUGGGCGUACCGGGAUCUAGAAACUAGCCCUCCAUCUUAUUAAACUCCGGUGUCAGUUCCUAGCAAUUGUUUUAAAUUUACACCCUCAGAGUGGCUUAGUGGGAUUACAUGUCCAUUUGCAUUAAAACAGUUUUCUGUCAUUAAACUGCCAUACAAUAAGCUUCCUUGGGACAAAUUAAUGAGCUCUAAAUAUCAUCAAGUAGAAGUUCACUUCAAGACAGGCAACAAGGAGGGGGGUCGGAAGGAAGUGGCUGCUCAGAAUCUCAUGGCCCAGGAGAACGAUAAGUGCCAACUAAAGAAGGGUCUUGUCCUGUUUCUUCACUGCACGAUAAGUGGUCCUGAUUUAGAGCUGAAUGGGGAGAUUUGGCAAUAUUCUCCCUGUUCGCCAAAAUCCUAUAGCUCAUCUUCUAUUCCUUCUUCCAAAUAUGACUUUACCCUUGACUUUGCUGAAAUUUGCUGAUGAAACACUGACCUCUUGUCUCAGUGACAAUGUCUCAGCCUCAUUUUCUUUGUCCUGUAGUUUCUCUGUCCUUGAGGAACUUGCGUGCAUCCACGUGGCCUGGGAACAACACGCACACAACGCAGCACUAUGUGUAGCUUGAACAAGUGCUCCCUAACUUUGUUAGUUCCCACACACUUUGCUAAAAUGCAUGUAUGAUUGCUACUGAACUGUCUGGGUCCUCAGACCUUAUCGGGACCCUGGAACACGAGUCCUGAUCAGGAGCACCUUUCAUGGUCAUCAGGAGCAGAAUAGGAACAGGGAACAGUUUAGCUUCUAAGACUGAAUUUGUCCUGCUCACAAGAAUCACCAGAGCUUGUCCUCACAAAUACAUAUGUGUGUCUAAGUAGAAAUUUUUCAUUAACACCAAAUAAACCCCCAAACCUUCCCUUAUGUAAAGGAAAUAAGACUGGCUGCUAGACAGACUUCUUGAUCCACAGAGGCUGUGAUCUCAUUUCUGUGUAGCCUUAACAGGGGACAGUAAUGUAUGAUUGAGACACUGCUAUAUUUAGGAAUGACAAGAUGAACAUUAUUAAUAGCUUAAUUGACAUUAAGGCAAUUACCCCUACCCUUAUUACAGUUUGUAGAAUUACACAGAAAAUAUUGGCUGGGGCCUUUUUUUCCCUAGAGCUACCCAAGGAUACAGCAUUUUAUUUCAUGCCAGAUCCCAGCUUUGACAUUAGAUACUUAGCCAUAGAAUGAUUCCAGUAAAUCAUUAUAAAUGCAUUAUAAUAAAGAUGUUAUGAGCUAUCAGAUAUUAACCCCCAACCCCUAAAGAGAGAUAAAUAGUCCAGUUGCAUGAUUCCCACUUUUGUUUCAUAAGAAAUAAGCUUUUGCAAAGAGCAACUGACUAAUGAAUUAUAAAAUGGUGUGUUGAGCUCAGAUAAUUAAACAAUGCAUUUUAGUGUCUAGUGCAGGAUGAACACUAAAUCAUACACAAAUAAAAAAGGUAAAAAUCUGAGCCCCAUGCCUAACUCCUAUUUUUGAAUAACAUUAAUGUUGGUCUACAGUCCAAAAAUGCUUCAACUAUUUUCUUAUCUGAUUAGAGAGGCAUAUCAAGUAUAAGAUCAAGGCACAGUAGGCAAACUAAACCAACAGUCAGAACAAAAACUGUGAAGGUGCUAAUUUCAGAUAAGCCCACAAGGUUAUUUUAAUGGAGAUUUUACAUGGAGAUUGCUUUUUCCCCCAAAGUGUUAAUGGGACAAAAGUCUAGAAGGACCUGGAAGUUUUCAGGUUUCCUUAUACUUUAUAUUUUCUCUGAACUCAUAAUAAAGCAUAUUAGUGGGAAUGGGAUCUAUGCUAUUGGUGGUGGUCUUAGCCUUAUAGUGUUGGAAAGAUGAAUACACAUCCUAAAAUCUUCUCUAGGUUGUGGAGGUGCAGGGAUGAGGAGGGGUUGGUUUGGGUUUCAACCAUUAUCCUCCCCAGGUGGUGGUAUCCUGCCCAGCAGGGCUUCAUCUAGUGGUCAACCAUGGAACACCAUGACAUUUUCACCAGUGGCCCUCAGACAGGGCUGGUUUGCCAUUGGCUGCCAUUUCCUGGCAUGUCGUAGAUUUGCUGCGUGAUUUGAAGCUGUGCUUCAGCACAUCCUGAAUGUGUUUUUUAGUCUUUCAGUAUCUCAAAGACAUGGUGUCCGCCUCAAGGUAGUCUCCUAUUUCUUCGUCAAAUAGCACAUCAUUAAGGACUGUGUGGCCAAAAUUACAGAUGGUCUUGGACUCUGUAUGGGCAAUGACCACCUGUGCUGGUAAUCGAGGCUUCCCUGGAACACCUGGGAACAUACCACACAGCCAGUCCUCUCCUGUGCUCCAGUCAAGCUUAACCUCACAGCCCGAUACUCCCUCCACUUCCCUAGCUCCAUGUGUUAGCCACUGCAGGUUAAUUGAUCUAAGGCUUAUUUUCUUCAAAUAUAAAAUGAAGAUAAUAAUGCCUACCCAGAGGGUCAUGUGAACAUUAAAUGAGAUCAAUUAUGUAAAGAUCUAUCUAUGCAGUGCCUUUCACAGAGUAUGCCCACAAAUAAAUGUUACCUGUUUCAUUUUAGUUAUCUAUGUUUAGCUAUCUUUGUGUUUUUUCUAUCCUGCUUCUUCUCGCUCCACUAUACUCUUACAUCCUAAUUCUCUCUCUCUCUCAUACACACAUACUUUGCUGUGUCUAGCACAGUGCUUUGCUUGUGGCUCACACUCUACAUGCUUGUUACCCUGAACUAUUAACAAAAGCAGCUGCUAGUAACAGUUAAUGUUUUCUGACCACCUACAUGAGCCAGGCACUAUGCUAAGUAUCAUCACUUCCUUUAAUUCUCACAAGCUUAUGAGACAAAUACUAUUUUAAUUCUCAUCUAUCGGAAAUUAAAGAUUAAAGAUGUUCUAUAACUUGCCCAAGGUCACACAAGCUCUUAAGUGGAUAGUCAAGAUCCAAACUCAGAACCGGCCUGGAUUUGAAAUCUCAGUUCUUAACUAUCACUGUGUCAGACUGAUUUUGUUAGCUUUUUCCUCCUUUAGACUGGGCCCUAUCAAGGGAUCAGAGAUAAGCAUGUACCCACUCUCAGAUGAGUGAUCCCACGACCUCAAGUUUUGAAGUUCCAGGAAGUCCAGAAGUGUAUGCUAACUCUAGUUUAUAGCUGUUCAAAAGUCACUUGUCUAAAAACUUCAGGGACAUUAUGUAAAACCAUCCAAAAAACAUUAUUGCACACCCCAUAAAGUUAAUUUCACUUUGCAAGAAUGUGUUUGAGGGAGGUGAUGCACUUGGCUAUGUAUUCAGGUUGGUGGCCACAAUAUAUGGAGCUGUGCUGUCAUCCUUGACACUCUGGCUUACUGGCAGCCUCGCUCCAACACACUGUCACAGGCGAGGGAUGGCCUCCCAGUCUUGACUCAGAACACUUAAGCUUCCUAAUGGUCCAAGUCUCACAAACCACACACCUCCCUUAAUUAAAAAAGUAAAUUAAAAGGAGUAUUUCAACUUAGGGAUGAAUUAUCUUAGUAAUUUAAGAUUGACAUUUUAUUGGAUAAAAGGACAUGUAUGAGUUUAUUUUAAAAUACUGCCUUCAUGAACAAGAGACCACAGAAAAGAUUAUCCUGAGGUUGCAAGGCGUUUGUAGAGCCAGAGGACACCCUUGCAAAACAGCCACUGUGAGAGGCCAGUUGCUGCAAAUCACAGGUCAGCCACUUCUACACUUGUCCUUCAAGCACAUCAGCCGGACAUUUGGAGUUUUCUAUAGUCUUCAUUUCAAACUCGAUCAUCCUGAGUGUUGUGGUGGACACUACUAGUGUCACAAAGAGUCCAGCACCCUCUCCUUCCAGGUAUAUAAACGGUGCAUUGCUGGGCUCCUUUGCAGUUGGAUAGGUCAGGUAAUUUGUCUGUUGUGAAGAGUUACUAUGUUUCACUUCUAAGCCGAAGCAUUUGAUUGUCAAUGGAAUACCCUCCAGCUCUCUCCUUCCCUGCAGAAGUAAUCUUGGAAGCAUGUGUUGAGAUGACAGAGUUCCCAAUAGCCUAGAUUCCUGAAUGACUUAGUGGAGCUGAGUCCUCCACAGGUCCAUGUUGGACAUGCACAAUCAGUGAGAAUAAACUUUUGUUGGAUUAAGUCACCGAUGUUUGGAGACUGUUCAUUACCACAACAAAAUGUAGCCAAAUCCCGACUAAUCCAGGAAUUAACCUUUUGUUCAGAAAAUACAGCCCUUCUAAGUCAUAAACCCAUAUUCUCUUUCCAAUAGCUUAUUAAAUGGUUUAUGUAUUUUCCAUCUUUUUGAUAUACUCUCAGAUGCCUAAAAUUACCACAGUGACCUUGGAUUGGACAAGGUAGUUGUUUGUCUUUUAGCCAUUAAUAAAUAUUGCUACUGUGGAAUGAGUGAGGGAAACAGAAGAAGACAAGGUUGGCCUUUUGAAAAUAAUAUGGCAUCAUGUAACGAUGAAAAAGAGAAAAAAUACAGAAAAAAGAGAAAACAAGAGAAAAAUGAAAAACAAGUCUAUAAGAGAGAAAAGUAGAGAAAAACAAAACAAUAGAAAUGCUGGGCAAUUUGUUUCAGAUUCACUAUAACCAACUGCUUGUUGUUGGGUUCUGCUCUAGAAGGCAUCUCUCAGGAUGCCUUUGACCCUCAGCACCUUUUUGUGUAUGUGCCUAGCAUACUGAGGUGCUCAAUAAAUGUUGAUUGAAAGGGUAAAUAAAGGAAUAAAUUUCCAUUUUAUAAUCUUGGAAGCAUAUAUUACUUUAAACGGCCUAUGACUAUGAAUGGACAUUCCAUUGCACAUUGAAAGGCAGUACAACAAGUGAGAAGGGAAGUAGAAAUAUAUGAGUUUGAAUAGCUCUUCAUAACCUUUAAACCUGAGUCCUUGCAAAGAGCAACUAUGAGGUCAGAGCAAUAAUUCUUUGUCCUAAAAACAGGACACCACUGAUAACUCAGAGCCGUCUGUUGAAGAAAGUGUUUCAAAUAAACUGGUUAGCAAUGCCCUUGUUUUGUUUGCCUCUGGAUGGGAAGAACUAGGAGUGCAAUCAGCACCGAGGUGUCUAUAGUCUUGAUGUGGUGGGAGAUGAAAGUAGGGGAACUGAAUAAUGUAUUUUUUCAAAACCUUGAAUGGAGCGAGAAAUACUGAUAAAAAGGAAGAGUUGUGAGUCAUUCUUCUGCUGAUGCCAACUGGGAAGCUCCAGUAGUAUAUUCCCCUGGUGAUGAAGUAAUUCACUUUUUCUGAGAUUAACAUUCUGUAGUAAGGCUGUUCCUCAUACAAGGUUGCUCACAGGUAAAGUUAAUAAAAGGCAGAGUCUAAGAAUUCAUAAGGAAGUUUGCCUUUCCAUGGGGAGAAAGCAUGCAAUCAGGGUCUCUAGUCUGUGUGCACACGUGUGUGUGCGCGUGUGUGUGUGCGCGCGCGCACUCAUAUGCACAGCUCAGAUGUCCAGGACUUGAGAUGAGAAUGGAAAGCACCGAAUAAGAAGAAAGCUGCCACACAGUAGGCUGAAGGAGAAUGACUACAACCUUUAGGCUGAAAAAAAAAAAACACUACAUGCUGGCGUGUAUCCUUGUGGAUAUGUGGAAACACAACAAAAAUAUUGGUCCAUCCUGGCUGCAGUUUUAAAGGAAAGGAAGAUCUCCUGGCAUCAACAUCUCUUGGAGAUGAACACACUAUACAUGCAAGUUCAAAUCUAUCAUCUUCCACCAGUCAACCCAAGCUACAUUCCCCUUCCAUUUAUUAUCAAAGGAAUAAGCACUUUUGUUUCCCAGGCUUAACUCCUCAAAAUCAUGAGCUUUUCUUCCCUACCUUUCCCUUCAUUCGAACUCUUUCCUUUCAAAAUGUUUAUAGAAUUCAUUCUUAUCCUCUCCCUGCCUGGGGGGUUUAUCUAGCUAGUCUAAAUUCUAGAUCAUUGCCUUUCUAUAGGAAAUAUAAAACACACAAAUAAUGAAAUACCCAUAAUCCAAGGCAGAAAUCAUGAGUGUUAUAGUAACAAUGGCCUCAAGAGCUAGACUGCCCAGGCAGCUCAUAUU